CCACAGCACAACCCCCCCCAGCAGUUCCAACCAGGAUGUUGGACCCUUUGCACUUGAGCAGCUUACUAGACAGAUGCUUUUAGAUGUCAUCUUUCAGCAUAUUGUUUGUAACAAUCAUGCUGUUCGCCAAAUAUCUGCUUUUGUCUUUCAUGGUGGUACAAGUGCAGUUAUUUUUGCACCAACUUCAGCCGUUUCUGUUUGUGAACAUUAAUGAUACAGCAAAGAUCCAGUGCUCUUCCAAAGAACAAUUUUUAGGAGGCAGUAUGACAGCUCAGUGGUACAGGAGACAGGGAAGGUGAGGCCCCCAUGUUAAUUAAGAGAUGCUCAGAUAAUCAAAAUGUAAAUAAAAUUGCUUGCAUAUCGGAAGGACACAACUUGACACUGGAAAUCUACCAUACCCAAUGGAGUGACUCGGGGGGUUUAUUACUGUACCGAUUCGUACAUCAUCUUGACUUUUGUCAACGGAUCCACCCUGAUUGUUGGAGACAGUUACACCACCAGCAGUUGGGUGCUGCCUCUGGCUCCAUCUCCCCACGGCCUCCUCUCCCCCAGGACGGCUGAUCUGGCUUGCGUGGUCCAUGGAGUUUCCAACCCAGUCCAAAUUUCCUGGAGUUGUUCUGGGGAUCUGCAGGAACAGGGUCUGAUGCAUUCGCUGAAAACAAAGGAUGGCUCCUUCGUGUUCAUAAAUCACAUCAGCGUCCCCGUGGACACCUGGACCAGUGGGAAGAAUUUCACCUGUGAUGUUAAAUUCAACAUGUGUUCUACCACCCAGAAAUAUGAUACCUUAAACCAAACAUGGAAGACUGGGUAGAGACUUAGGCCGGGA